rnacentral:lncRNA from 1 species
AAUAUGUAAACCAACAAUAAUUCCAUUCUUCUCAACAAUGUCAUCAACAAUUAAACAAUUCCAAUCCAAUAUAGCCAACUAAAAUUUCCUAUAUGUGUCCUAUUCUAAAAUAUUAAAUGAUAAUAGUUGUCUUAUAUAAUCAAAAUUGAAGUCUAUCCCCAUAUAUCUUUGUCCUCAUAAUGGCUAUGAACAAAACGUUUCCACAAAAAAGGUUAUGAGCAUUCCCAUAUCUUAGAUCAUAUCUAGGUGUGUUUAUCAUAUGUACCGAGCUAAAAAUCCAGCCCACUCCCCUCGUACUUCAUCCAAUUCAAGCUGUGUGUAUGGGCUUCUCGUAUCAAUCUAUAAAACAUAAAAAGUAGAAUACACUUUGUAAAAUAUUUGAGUUAGUCAUAUUAUACUAUCUAUAACGUUAUAAUGUAAAUAGUUUAGAAACAUACCGCAUUAGUGACAAUGUUUGUGUCCUUAGUCACAAUUUCUCGCAUGUAUCUCAUGACAUAAUAUCC